rnacentral:rRNA from 1 species
CCUACGGGUGGCAGCAGUGAGGAAUAUUGGUCAAUGGACGGAAGUCUGAACCAGCCAUGUCGCGUGCAGGAUGACGGCCCUAUGGGUUGUAAACUGCUUUUGUACAAGGGUAAAGCUCACUACGUGUAUUCAUUUGCAAGUACCGUACGAAUAAGGAUCGGCUAACUCCGUGCCAGCAGCCGCGGUAAUACGGAGGAUCCGGGCGUUAUCCGGAUUUAUUGGGUUUAAAGGGUGCGUAGGCGGAUUGUUAAGUUAGAGGUGAAAUGUCCGGGCUUAACCCGGGCCGUGCAUUUAAUACUGGCGAUCGUGAGUGUGGGAGCGGUAGGCGGAAUGCGUGGUGUAGCGGUGAAAUGCUUAGAGAUCACGCAGAACACCGAUUGCGAAGGCAGCUUACCGAUGUAUAACUGACGCUGAUGCACGAAAGCGUGGGUAUCGAACAGGAUUAGAUACCCGUGUAGUC